rnacentral:rRNA from 1 species
GUGCCAGCCGCCGCGGUAAUACGUAGGUGGCAAGCGUUGUCCGGAAUUAUUGGGCGUAAAGGGUGUGUAGGCGGAUAUUUAAGUGAGAUGUGAAAUCCCCGGGCUUAACUUGGGGGGUGCAUUUCAAACUGGAUGUCUUGAGUGCAGGAGAGGAAAGCAGAAUUCCUAGUGUAGCGGUGAAAUGCGUAGAGAGUAGGAGGAAUACCAGUGGCGAAGGCGGCUUUCUGGACUGUAACUGACGCUGAGGCAUGAAAGCGUGGGGAGCAAACAGGAGUAGAUACCCUGGUAGUCCACGCCGUAAACGAUGAGUACUAGGUGUAAGAGGUAU